AUGCCCGUGCGACAGAGAGAGGCCCAGCGAGCUCUGGAGCUGCUGCAGAGGUAUCGCUCCAGCCUGGACCAGAGAACACGGAGCCAGGGGCCCGACAUCACCGGCCCCGGGGGGCCCGACGGCACCGGCCCUGGGCAGCCCGAUGGCACCGGCCCCGCGGAGCACGACCUCCAGCUCCAGCAGUCCCUGGACCGGGUCAUCACCGUCUUCCAGAGCCAGCUGUUCAACGCGCUGCUAGACAUCCAGGAGUACUAUGAGCUGACCCUCCAGUCAGACAGUCAGCCCCCUGGGGACCCAACCCCUGCUCUGGGGGAGGCGGGGCCGGGCUGUGGCCCCCCACCGGAGCUCUCCAGCCAGACAGACCUUCCCUCCGUCCCCCUCGGCGCCCCGCCCCCCUCGGGACCACCGGCAUCGUCCGGGUCUUCGGGCCCUAAACGCAAAUCCGUGAAGGCGCCGGCCCCCCCGGUCCCGUCUGGGGGCCCCGGGGAGAAGGCACCCUGUUCACCGUCCCCUAAGGUCAAGAGCCGCGCCCCGCCCCCGCCCGUCCAGCCCAGAGCCUACCGAUCAGAGCAGGUGGACGGGGCCCUGAAGGUCUCGGCCAAUGGGAUCCAUCCGUUCCUAAACACCUCCUCCAACGGACCGGAGACCCCGUCCUCCCCGAUGACCGGCCCGUCUACUGGGGGCGGAAGCCCUCCCCUCCCCGGCUCCGCCCCUCUCUGCCCGGGCGCCGUCUCCGCCCUCGUCUCGGCCACCAUCCAAGGCCUCGCCUCGCCCGCCUCGCUGGAAGCCGCCGCCGCCGCCGCCCCCGUCACCGUGGCGACCCCUCAGGGCAGCCAGGUUGCCGCCGUCGCCGCGGCCAGCCCUCCGGCUCCCGCCCCGGUGGUGUCGUCCCAGCCGAGGCCCAGCACCCUCCCCCUCCCCCUCCCCGGCCCCCCCUCCCUCGGAGGGCCCCGCUCUGGGCGGGCCGUCCCAGAGCCGGUCAGGUCCGGUCCCGCCAGCCCCCGCCUGGGACCGACCGCCGUCGGCCGCCAGGGCUCCGCUCUGAGCCAGGGGCCCCUCUACACCACGGACCCCCUGCUGAGUCCAACCAGUCCAGGGACCAAGGGCCCCACCUCCCCAGGGGGCCAGCCAGGGGCCAGCCCGCACACACCCAAGGUACGCUGCUCCGUUGUUUGUGUUAACGUUGUGUGUGCUGACUGA
rnacentral:lncRNA from 1 species